ACCUAAGUUUCACCAACGGAUCUCUUGGUUCCCCCUUCGAUAAAAAACCCAGCAAAUGGCAAUAAUUAAGGGGAAUUGCAAAAUUCAUGGAACCAUCAAAUCUUUAAACGCACCUUGCCCUCCUGGGUAUUCCUGGAACCAGGCCGGUUUAAUAAUCAGGAAU
rnacentral:rRNA from 1 species